rnacentral:rRNA from 1 species
AGCGUACACGGUGGAUGCCCUGGCAGUCAGAGGCGAUGAAGGACGUGCUAAUCUGCGAUAAGCGUCGGUAAGGUGAUAUGAACCGUUAUAACCGGCGAUGUCCGAAUGGGGAAACCCAGUGUGAUUCGUCACACUAUCGUUAACUGAAUACAUAGGUUAACGAGGCGAACCGGGGGAACUGAAACAUCUAAGUACCCCGAGGAAAAGAAAUCAACCGAGAUUCCCCCAGUAGCGGCGAGCGAACGGGGAGCAGCCCAGAGCCUGAAUCAGUGUGUGUGUUAGUGGAAGCGUCUGGAAAGGCGCGCGAUACAGGGUGACAGCCCCGUACACAAAAAUGCACAUGCUGUGAGCUCGAUGAGUAGGGCGGGACACGUGGUAUCCUGUCUGAAUAUGGGGGGACCAUCCUCCAAGGCUAAAUACUCCUGACUGACCGAUAGUGAACCAGUACCGUGAGGGAAAGGCGAAAAGAACCCCGGCGAGGGGAGUGAAAAAGAACCUGAAACCGUGUACGUACAAGCAGUGGGAGCACGCUUAGGCGUGUGACUGCGUACCUUUUGUAUAAUGGGUCAGCGACUUAUAUUCUGUAGCAAGGUUAACCGUAUAGGGGAGCCGCAGGGAAACCGAGUCUUAACUGGGCGUUAAGUUGCAGGGUAUAGACCCGAAACCCGGUGAUCUAGCCAUGGGCAGGUUGAAGGUUGGGUAACACUAACUGGAGGACCGAACCGACUAAUGUUGAAAAAUUAGCGGAUGACUUGUGGCUGGGGGUGAAAGGCCAAUCAAACCGGGAGAUAGCUGGUUCUCCCCGAAAGCUAUUUAGGUAGCGCCUCGUGAACUCAUCUUCGGGGGUAGAGCACUGUUUCGGCUAGGGGGUCAUCCCGACUUACCAACCCGAUGCAAACUACGAAUACCGAAGAAUGUUAUCACGGGAGACACACGGCGGGUGCUAACGUCCGUCGUGAAGAGGGAAACAACCCAGACCGCCAGCUAAGGUCCCAAAGUCAUGGUUAAGUGGGAAACGAUGUGGGAAGGCCCAGACAGCCAGGAUGUUGGCUUAGAAGCAGCCAUCAUUUAAAGAAAGCGUAAUAGCUCACUGGUCGAGUCGGCCUGCGCGGAAGAUGUAACGGGGCUAAACCAUGCACCGAAGCUGCGGCAGCGACGCUGAUGCGUUGUUGGGUAGGGGAGCGUUCUGUAAGCCUGCGAAGGUGUGCUGUGAGGCAUGCUGGAGGUAUCAGAAGUGCGAAUGCUGACAUAAGUAACGAUAAAGCGGGUGAAAAGCCCGCUCGCCGGAAGACCAAGGGUUCCUGUCCAACGUUAAUCGGGGCAGGGUGAGUCGACCCCUAAGGCGAGGCCGAAAGGCGUAGUCGAUGGGAAACAGGUUAAUAUUCCUGUACUUGGUGUUACUGCGAAGGGGGGACGGAGAAGGCUAUGUUAGCCGGGCGACGGUUGUCCCGGUUUAAGCAUGUAGGCUGGUUGUCCAGGCAAAUCCGGAUAAUCAAGGCUGAGGUGUGAUGACGAGGCACUACGGUGCUGAAGUAACAAAUGCCCUGCUUCCAGGAAAAGCCUCUAAGCAUCAGGUAACAUCAAAUCGUACCCCAAACCGACACAGGUGGUCAGGUAGAGAAUACCAAGGCGCUUGAGAGAACUCGGGUGAAGGAACUAGGCAAAAUGGUGCCGUAACUUCGGGAGAAGGCACGCUGGUGUGUAGGUGAAGUCCCUGCGGAUGGAGCUGAGACCAGUCGAAGAUACCAGCUGGCUGCAACUGUUUAUUAAAAACACAGCACUGUGCAAACACGAAAGUGGACGUAUACGGUGUGACGCCUGCCCGGUGCCGGAAGGUUAAUUGAUGGGGUCAGCGCAAGCGAAGCUCUUGAUCGAAGCCCCGGUAAACGGCGGCCGUAACUAUAACGGUCCUAAGGUAGCGAAAUUCCUUGUCGGGUAAGUUCCGACCUGCACGAAUGGCGUAAUGAUGGCCAGGCUGUCUCCACCCGAGACUCAGUGAAAUUGAACUCGCUGUGAAGAUGCAGUGUACCCGCGGCAAGACGGAAAGACCCCGUGAACCUUUACUAUAGCUUGACACUGAACAUUGAGCCUUGAUGUGUAGGAUAGGUGGGAGGCUUGGAAGUGUGGACGCCAGUCUGCAUGGAGCCGACCUUGAAAUACCACCCUUUAAUGUUUGAUGUUCUAACGUUGACCCGUAAUCCGGGUUGCGGACAGUGUCUGGUGGGUAGUUUGACUGGGGCGGUCUCCUCCUAAAGAGUAACGGAGGAGCACGAAGGUUGGCUAAUCCUGGUCGGACAUCAGGAGGUUAGUGCAAUGGCAUAAGCCAGCUUGACUGCGAGCGUGACGGCGCGAGCAGGUGCGAAAGCAGGUCAUAGUGAUCCGGUGGUUCUGAAUGGAAGGGCCAUCGCUCAACGGAUAAAAGGUACUCCGGGGAUAACAGGCUGAUACCGCCCAAGAGUUCAUAUCGACGGCGGUGUUUGGCACCUCGAUGUCGGCUCAUCACAUCCUGGGGCUGAAGUAGGUCCCAAGGGUAUGGCUGUUCGCCAUUUAAAGUGGUACGCGAGCUGGGUUUAGAACGUCGUGAGACAGUUCGGUCCCUAUCUGCCGUGGGCGCUGGAGAACUGAGGGGGGCUGCUCCUAGUACGAGAGGACCGGAGUGGACGCAUCACUGGUGUUCGGGUUGUCAUGCCAAUGGCACUGCCCGGUAGCUAAAUGCGGAAGAGAUAAGUGCUGAAAGCAUCUAAGCACGAAACUUGCCCCGAGAUGAGUUCU